GCAUUGCAUAGGGAGGCAGAUGGUAUGGAACCUGUUGUCUCACAUGCAAAGAAGGAAAACGUUUGUGUAAGGUACAUAAAAUAUAAGGUAACAUUGUUUAAAAAAUGUUUAAAAUGCAUAAAUAUGCUUAGAGUAUUUAAGAGUAGUAAUAGUUCAUGUCAUACAUAUAAAAUUCAGUUGUUUGUUUCUAAAAUAACCAAAUCUCCAUUGUUGGCGUUUGGGUGUAAUACCGUAAUGUCCAGUAGGGGGUGCUAGCAGCAAUGGUGGUAUAGAGUAGGUGACAAAACGACAGAGGAAGAAGAAAUCCAGAGGGUGAAUAUACGUCAAGUCAUUGUGGAUUGUCUUCCUUAUUCUGUACCACAGGUUAGUACAAAGUAGAGAUAAUUUAUAUUUUAACGGCUGUAAAGAGUUUAGAAAGUUGCUAGAGUAAACAGCUGACUAGUAAAUAUUUGUUACAAAAUGUGUUGUAGAGCAUUUGAACAUAAGGGAAACGGCUAAUGCUAGCAAGCCUGAAUGUACAGUUAAUAGCAUGAAGCAGGCUAAUUUACAUAUGUGAAAUGUGUCUGGAAACAAAUUGGUAAUUGUUGAUGUUAUCAUCUUAUGAUAUCUGAAAUGUUAUUUUGAGAGGAAGAAUAAAUCCUGAGGGUGAAUAUAUGUGAAUAUACGUCAAGUCUAAAAUAACCAAAUCUCUAUUGUUGGCGUUUGGGUGUAAUACCGCAAUGUCCGCUAGGGGGUGCUAGCAGCGAUGGUGGUAUAGAGUAGGUGACAAAACGACACAGGAAGAAGAAAUCCAGAGGGUGAAUAUACGUCAAGUCAUCGUGGAUUGUCUUCCUUAUUCUGUACCACAGGUUAGUACCAAGUAGAGAUAAUUUAUAUUUUAACGGCUGUAAAGAGUUUAGAAAGUUGCUAAAGUAACCAGCUGACUGCUAAGUAUUUGUUACAAAAUGUGUUGUAGAGAAUUUGAACAUAAGCGAAAUGGCUAAUGCUAGCAAGCCUUAAUGUACAGUUAAUAGCAUGAAGCAGGCUAAUGGAAAAAUGUGAAAUGUGUCUGGAAACAAAUUGGUAAUUUUUGAUGUUAUCAUCUUAUGAUAUCUGAAGUGUUGUUAUUUUUGAGAGGAAGAAUAAAUCCUGAGGGUGAAUAUAUGUGAAUAUUAACCAAAUCUCCAUUGUUGGCGUUUGGGUGUAAUACCGCAAGUUCCGCUAGGGGUGCUAACAGCGAUGGUGGUAUAGAAUAGGUGACAAAACGACAGAGGAAGAAGAAAUCCAGAGGGUGAAUAUACGUCAAGUCAUCGUGGAUUGUCUUCCUUAUUCUGUACCAUAGGUGAGUACAAAGUACAGAUAAUUUACAUUUUAACGGCUGUAAAGAGUUUAGAAAGUUGCUAGAGUAAACAGCUGACUGCUAAAUAUUUGUUACAAAAUGUGUUGUAGAGAAUUUGAACAUAAGCGAGAUGGCUAAUGCUAGCAAGCCUUAAUGUACAGUUAAUAGCAUGAAGCAGGCUAAUUGAAAAAUGUGAAAUGUGUCUGGAAACAAAUUGGUAAAUUUUUAUGUUAUCAUCUUAUGAUAUCUGAAGUGUUAUUUUUGAGAGGAAGAAUAAAUCCUGAGUGUGAAUAUAUGUGGAUAUACGUCAAGUCAUCGUGGAUUGUCUUCCUUAUUCUGUACCACAGGGGGUGCUAACAGCGAUGGUGGUAUAGAGUAGGUGACAAAACGACAGAGGAAGAAGAAAUCCAGAGGGUGAAUAUACGUCAAGUCAUCGUGGAUUGUCUUCCUUAUUCUGUACCACAGUUUCAUCCCCAGAGGUGAAGAGCAGUCUCCUGUAAUUACCCAAGUGUCUGUGAAAUGAAUCAUUGGGUGGCUGAUUGAGCUGCGUGAUGGGAAACAUCCAUCGUGAGUAUAUAGCACGACUGACUACUCUCUGCAGCCCCGCAGCAGGAGCCUGUGUGCUGGCGCUCAAGGCUGCCUGCCCGGCACGUGCAUAUUUGAUGCCUCUGCUGAGACAGACUGGGUGUGGUCUCCAGCUGCUGCCUGCUCUCCCGCACACCGCCAUGAUGGUGGGCUGUGAUGUAAAAGGCAUCUCGUCUCGGCUCACUGCUGCUGCUUGGAAUUUGGCGGUAUUUUUUUGCAGUAUUGUUUGUUUUACCGGUUACAUUUUGAUACAUUUUCCUCAGAGCUUUCAGAAACCUGGUGGUUCGCACAUCGGCUUUACAGUUUGGAAAUCCUGGAUGGAAUUACCAUUGAAGUAUAUUUUGUGUGGCACUUCCAUAGACUGAUAUACUAAUACUGUAGGAACACAACAUACAAUAGCAACCUGAAACAUCAAAAUGCCUCAGAGAAAAAGCUCAUAAGGGAUAGAAAAUUAGUCUACAUUCUCUUUCACAUUUUACUAGCAUUAGAGUGCAACAAAAACAUGUACAGUUUUUCAUACAAAUGUCACAUAACUGUUUAGGUAGAUUUAGCGUUACAAAGGGAAACUCUGACCUGACCUGAAUGUUGGAUAUGCAGUAUUUGUGAUUCAGCAUUCACGGUAGAGUGGUCCUUAUUUUUCAACUUUUGAAAUUUCAUGCUCUCACCCCACCAAUAUGUUAGGAUAAAGGGGAAAAAAAACAUUUGGGCCAAAUUUCAUCAAUAUUGAUUAAUAUUUAGAGGUUGCUCACCAACUUUGAAGUUGGACAUAUUCUGUGCAUAUUCAGGAGUUUUCGCACAUUAUGAUAAUUUGUGCAAAAUUGGUUUAAUAAUGAUCAUUAAUUUGAGUUUAUGACAGCAUUGGACUUAUUGUUUCUUAUUAUGAUGCAGAAUAUGUGAACUACAUAUUAAAUAUGAGUGACAACAGUUCAGUUUUUAUUGAUAUUCUAACAUAUUUAGAGGGUGAGAGUUGAACAUUUCCAAAACAAAUAUUUAACCCCCCAUAUAAGGACCACCCUAUUUCACGGCCCUGCAAAUGUGCACAUUUCAGGUAAAAAAAUUAAAAAAAAUCAGCGAAAUACGCAUUUUUUUUCUGCAGAAACAACAACAUAAUACUGUUAGAAAAGUCUGUCUUUAUGCCUCAUUGAUGUUUUUUUUUGUUAAGCGUUGAGAUGUCAGACUUUGUUGAGAGGUCCCUGAAUGUAUAGUUGGCUACACUGCGACUCCGAUUACCUUUGUUCUACGUUCAUAAUCAUUCAUUAGUGUCUCAAAUCUUGCAAGAUGAAAACAUUCAGGCAAAAAAAAAGUUAAAGAGGACCUAUUAUGCUUUUUUCACUUUUCUGACCUACAAACGUAGUUAGGAAGAGAUUUCACCCUGUGCAUUGGUUUCCGCACUUAGGCAUGUUUGUUCCAUAGAACAGCGUGAACGGAGUGAGCCCUUUUACCCUUGUCUUUUUGUCUUGGUGUGUAAAGGUGGGGCCAAUAGUAAUCACACAGAGUAUAUUUUCUUAAAAGUAAUAUUAGAAUCUUGUUUUGUGUCAUUGUCGUAUACACAAUGGGCUCUAAUUUUGUGGCACAGUGUAAGGUGGUGCAGUGUGGCAGAGCGUGGUGCAGCCCACACAGUGGUAAUUUGGUCCGGCGCACCACUGUGCGCAGCCAGUUUGGUAAUUUGGUAGACUGGACUGUGCUGAAAUGGCUGUGGCGGUGCAUUGGGGAGGAGGCCACUCGCCAGCUUCGACGUAGUUUAUUCGAGGCGCAGGCGAAGCGCAGGCGAGGUACACCUGAAGCGCAGCCGUAGCGCAGCCGAAGCGCAAAAUGUCAAUUUUCAGCUGGUAUUUUUAUUAUUAUUAUCAGGAGUGUAUUAGGAAAUCAUUGCUGAAAUUGCUUUUGUCAUAGAAAUAUACACUUUACAGUGCUAUUUUUUAUUCAGGAGUAUUCGCACACAAGGUCAGACUGUCUAAACAAUUGAUGACAUUUUUACUCUUACUCAUUCGAGAGAGAGAGAGAAGUAGCUUGACGACUUUUAAGAGAUGCAAGUUGGCUUUAAUCAUAUUUCUUCUCUGCACUCUAAAGUAAAAAGUCAUCACGCUGGUUUACUCCCCGAGUCCACGCUGCCGCUUUUUUUUGUUUUUUUUUUUUACGAAGAAGCGAGAUAUGAAAACAAACGGCAUGCGACAACCGUUCUUCUCCCCAGCUGGCAUUAAACAUGGCACUUUGUACUGCCGAGAGGAUGAGUGCUGUGACAAAGUCAAUAGGACAGAGAGAGAAAGAGGAAUCCAUCAUUGUUUAAUUAGACUUUAUUUCAUGGAAUGCCAAGCCAAAUUGAAAAAAAAAAAAAAACAAAAACGGAUUGGGGGGGGUGAAAGCCUGCCAUUCUUGGCCAGAACUCAUUGUCACAGAUUGUGACGGGCUCGGGAGGUUCUGGUUAGUUGCUGAUAGUGUUGUUUAUUGUUGUCGCCGCACUCUUUCAAGCCAAGACUUAGUCCACACACAAAGACAAUUUCUACAUGGAAUUUUCUAUACUUAUUAAAGCUGUCUGCACACAACAUGACAAGCUGCUUUUCACUAUUUAUUUUUUGACAUGACAGCAACGUCAAUCACUGAUACUAUCGUUUUGCAACUAUCUUCUCCUCAGUGGUCCAGAUAUGCAAUAUUUGGCUAAGAUGUCACCGAGGCUACAUCCCUUGCCUCAAGAGUUCUCACUCGCUAAGCUGCUUAUAUUACCUCAGCUGGUGUGUGUGAGCGGAAACCUCAGUGGUGCUGGAAGUAGCUUUGAGGAGGACAAAUGACUUCAUGGUUUUUCAUCUUGCUAGAAGAUGAUUUCAAAUACAGCGGAAGGCCCCGGCAAUUUCACAAUUUGACUUAUGGUAGCUGAGUUUUUCAUCAUGUAUUAACAUCCGUACAAGCGUUUGCCACUGUUUUUAAGAACGGGUAA